UGCUGUUCAUUUCAGCAGCAUAGAAACUAAAAUUGGAAUGAUGCAGAGAUUAGCAUUGUCCCCUGCACAAGCAUGACAGGUGAAUUCAUGAAGCAUUCCAUAUUUUU
rfam:Dipodomys ordii contig_83680, whole genome shotgun sequence.